rnacentral:rRNA from 1 species
GCGUAUAUUAAGUUGUUGCAGUUAAAAAGCUCGUAGUUGAAUUUCGGGGUCAGCAGGUUGGUCGUGCCACUGGUAUGUACUGGCUUCGCUGAUUCCUCCUUUCUGAAGAACUGUAAUGCCAUUAAUUUGGUGUUGCAGGGAAACAGGACUGUUACUUUGAAAAAAUUAGAGUGUUUAAAGCAGGCUAACGCUUGAAUACAUUAGCAUGGAAUAAUGAAAUAGGACGUUUGAUCCUAUUUUGUUGGUUUCUAGGAUUGACGUAAUGAUUAAUAGGGAUAGUUGGGGGCAUUAGUAUUCAAUUGUCAGAGGUGAAAUUCUUGGAUUUAUUGAAGACUAACUACUGCGAAAGCAUUUGCCAAGGAUGUUUUCAUUAAUCAAGAACGAAAGUUAGGGGAUCGAAGACGAUCAGAUACCGUCGUAGUCUUAACCAUAGA